UUUUAAAGAGAGUUUGAUCCUGGCUCAGGACGAACGCUGGCGGCGUGCCUAAUACAUGCAAGUCGAACG
rnacentral:rRNA from 1 species